CCUAUAUGAAGUCGGAAUUGCUAGUAAUCGCGGAUCAGCAUGCCGCGGUGAAUACGUUCCCGGGCCUUGUACACACCGCCCGUCACACCAUGAGAGUCGAUAACACCCGAAGCCUGUAGUCUAACCAUAUGGGGGACGCAGUCGAAGGUGGGAUUGAUAAUUAGGGUGAAGUCGUAACAAGGUACC
rnacentral:rRNA from 1 species